ensembl:lncRNA
AACACUUCAGGAUGGUUGGUAACCAUCUGAUGACACAACAGGUUCAUCAUUCCUGAUCCUGCAGACACUUUACUGCAGAGUUUAGUUUCAACUCUAAUAAACAAACCUGAAUCAACUAAUUUGAACCUUUUAUCUUUGUUGGAUCUAACUUAAACUUAACAACUGAUGUACCAUUGAAACUAACAGUCAUUUGUAAAUAGUUUGUAGCAACUAUAGCAAUAUGAAAGGAAACCCACUUAAAGAAAAAGGAAACUGACUUCUCACACUCUGUGAUUUGUUUUGAUAACAGCUCACAGCUAAAAAAAAAAAAACAAAGAAAAAAAGAAAGCCAUUAAUGAUUGGGGGAGGGGGGUGGUACUUUUGAAAAUAGCAGUGUUGAGUUUCAGUUUAGUUUGGGUGAAAUAGAGCUAAAUGGUCAGCUGGUGAGAUUUGAGGAAGUUAACACCCCCAGAAUGAGCUGAUGAUGUUUAAAGGAAGAGCUGUAAAUAUAGAAUGAAAGAAAGACUGACAGAAACAAAAAAGGACUGAUAAUUGUCACAUGUGUCUGCUGGGACUGAUCAUUCUCACAGGAAAACUUAUACUGGAACAACAGUCUGAGCUGUGAGAUGAGAACAGAGACACAUUGAGCUUUAACCACUAACCAUCAUCCACCUGCUGACUGACGAGAAAACAUCAUUAGCUUGUGAGGGACAAAGACAAACUGAACCACGGUGAUCUGAACUGAAGACAGAGACUGUAACACAUUUCAGUUUCAUUCAGGUAAGCUCUCAUCAGUGUGAUUACCUUAUUUUAUAUCUCUCAGAAUGAAGAAAAACACUUGGUUGGUUGGUGAACUCAACGUAGAUUUAUGUUACAAAUAACUGUUUUAUUACAGUAUUACUGAACACAACUUUUUAUUAUUAUUAUUAUUUAUGUGUUUCCUAGAUACCAGCCAGUUUCAACAUUUCUUUAAAAGAUUUAAUCUGCUACUCAUCUGAGCUUUAUGAUUUAUUGGACAGGUCACUGAAAAAAAAAUAAAAAAAUAAAAUGAUUCA